rnacentral:lncRNA from 1 species
UUAUAUUAGUUCGUUUGUCUUGUGUUUGUGGUUUCCCGAUUAUUGUUUCCUGUAGCUGCGACUAUUCUUCAGGGUUUUAAUUUGCUUUGCUUUGCCAACUUUAUACUGAAAUUGUUAUGACUAGUAGUUUGUUAUCGAGUAGUUUAGUUGUUGAAAUUUUGGUACGAUAUUUGUUUUUGGCUUUUGUUGAUUAAUUUUGUAAAAUUAGUCUUGUUAAUUAAGUUUGGUAAUUUAUUAAGGUUAAUUAGAUUAAAAUUUAAAUUGAACUUAUGUUAAUGAAAAUUAGUUUUUAAAAUACACCCUCUCCACUAAAAUUAAGUUUCUAAUUCGCCUAGAUUUAAAGUAAAGGGUUUGCGAAAAAUAAUUUUAAUCUCUGUGGAUCGAAUCAUAAAUAUUAAA